rnacentral:rRNA from 1 species
GUGGGGAAUCUUGCGCAAUGGGCGAAAGCCUGACGGAGCAAUGCCGCGUGAAGGAUGAAGGCCUAUGGGUUGUAAACUUCUUUUCUUAGAGAAGAAUAUUGACGGUAUCUGAGGAAUAAGCAUCGGCUAACUCUGUGCCAGCAGCCGCGGUAAGACAGAGGAUGCAAGCGUUAUCCGGAAUGAUUGGGCGUAAUGCGUCUGUAGGUGGCUUCAAAAGUCUCCUGUCAAAUAUCAGGGCUUAACCCUGGGCCGGCAGGAGAAACUCUGAGGCUAGAGUUUGGUAGGGGCAGAGGGAAUUCCCGGUGGAGCGGUGAAGUGCGUAGAGAGCGGGAGGAACACCAAAGGCGAAAGCACUCUGCUGGGCCACAACUGACACUGAGAGACGAAAGCGAGGGGAGCAAAAGGGAUUAGAAACCCGAGUAGUCC